CCAAUAGCGUAUAUUUAAGUUGUUGCAGUUAAAAAGCUCGUAGUUGGAUUUCGGGUGGGACGCAGCGGUCUCGCAUUGCGUUUGUACUGCUGCAGCCCUCCUUCUUGCCGGGGGCGGCCUCUCGGACUUCACUGUCUGGGGGUCAGAAUCGGCGAUGUUACUUUGAGUAAAUUAGAGUGUUCAAAGCAAGCUUACGCUCUGAAUAUAAUAGCAUGGGAUAACACGACAGGACUCUGGCCUAUCGUGUUGGUCUAUAGGACCAGAGUAAUGAUUAAGAGGGACAGUCGGGGGCAUUCGUAUUCCGUUGUCAGAGGUGAAAUUCUUGGAUUUACGGAAGACGAACAUCUGCGAAAGCAUUUGCCAAGGAUGUUUNCAUUGA
rnacentral:rRNA from 1 species